UACGUAGGGUGCGAGCGUUAAUCGGAAUUACUGGGCGUAAAGCGUGCGCAGGCGGUUUUGCAAGCCGGAUGUGAAAUCCCCGGGCUUAACCUGGGAAUGGCAUUUGGGACUGCAAGGCUGGAGUGCGGCAGAGGAGACUGGAAUUCCUGGUGUAGCAGUGAAAUGCGUAGAUAUCAAGCGGAACACCAGUGGCGAAGGCGAGUCCCUGGACAACUCCUGACACUGAAGCACGAAAGCUAGGGGAGCAAACAGG
rnacentral:rRNA from 1 species